rnacentral:lncRNA from 1 species
AUAUUCGAUCUCUACGGAUAUCCAUCGAGAUCAAUCUCGAACUGAUCUCCUCGUAGUAGAAUCUUUUUUCAAGAAGAAUCUUAUCCUUGAGAUCUUAGAUCAAUACCUUGAUCUGGAUUGCGGGAUCAACUUCUUGAUAUGCAGCCUUCUUCUUCUUCUCUUCAUUCUUCGCUCUUGAAGACAAAUCACCACUACCUCUUGACGUGUAGAAAAGGGGAUGCCCAAUCCUUGGGUGUAGAAGAGAACAGAGGGAGGAG